GACGUAGGGCGCGAGCGUUGUCCGGAUUUAUUGGGCGUAAAGAGCUCGUAGGCGGUUUGUCGCGUCUGCUGUGAAAACUCGGGGCUCAACUCCGAGCUUGCAGUGGGUACGGGCAGACUAGAGUGCGGUAGGGGAGACUGGAAUUCCUGGUGUAGCGGUGAAAUGCGCAGAUAUCAGGAGGAACACCGGUGGCGAAGGCGGGUCUCUGGGCCGUAACUGACGCUGAGGAGCGAAAGCAUGGGGAGCGAACAGG
rnacentral:rRNA from 1 species